rnacentral:rRNA from 1 species
AACGAACGCUGGCGGCAUGCCUAACACAUGCAAGUCGAACGAGAUCUUCGGGUCUAGUGGCGCACGGGUGCGUAACGCGUGGGAAUCUGCCCAUUGGUUCGGAAUAACAGUUGGAAACGACUGCUAAUACCGGAUGAUGACGAAAGUCCAAAGAUUUAUCGGCAGAGGAUGAGCCCGCGUAGGAUUAGCUAGUUGGUGUGGUAAAGGCGAACCAAGGCGACGAUCCUUAGCUUGUCUGAGAGGAUGAUAAGCCACACUGGGACUGAGACACGGCCCAGACUCCUACGGGAGGCAGCAGUGGGAAAUAUUGGACAAUGGGCGAAAGCCUGAUCCAGCAAUGCCGCGUGAGUGAUGUAGGCCUUAGGGUUGUAAGGCUCUUUUACCCGGGAUGAUAAAGACAGUACCGGGAGAAUAAGCUCCGGCUAACUCCGUGCCAGCCGCCGCAGUAA